AGGCGACGCUGCUAGUGCUGGCCAGGGAUGAUAGGAAUGGAGUGACGCAUGUAAGGUAAGUCUGUGAUAAGUUCCCAGUGUCAAACUAUUAGAUUUCAAGGUUCUGGCUCAAAACAUUAAUAUUCAUGCAUCAAAAUCAAUUUAGAUUUCUAUGUUAUGUUGUAGUAUGACUAUUCCUCAUAGCAAGGUAACAUUGAGCCAAAAGAAAUGGCUGCAUUACAGUUAGAGUGAUAGUUGUGUUGCGGCAUGGAUUUUAUCUCACCAUAUAUACUUAUAUCAUAGAAGAACUUGAUAAGAAGUGAAAUACAUGCUAUGAAAAGUAUAAAACCUCCAAUAAAUAGUACACAGAUUUACCUACGUCAUUAUUAGUCUACUGUACAAUAUAUCCUGAUGGAGGGGCAUGGAGAUGCCCAGUCUUUUGGGGCCAUAUAUAGUGGAGAUGCCCGGGCCCCUAUAUCCAUAUACAAGCACCUGUGAAGUGGCCCAGUCCCUAGUGUCCUUGUUCCUCCAUUACUAAGGAGUCCUGGAGACGCCAAGUCUUCUAGGCUUAUAAAGCUAAAGGGAUGUUUCCUGGACCCCUAGCCCACCUUUGUUUGUCUAGGAGUACCCUAAGCCCCUAACCUCUCCCCCAUAUUUUUUUAAAAACUGAAAAAAUAAUAUUCUAUUUCAAAUCUUGGUUUUUUUUUUGUCUUCCUUCUUUGUCACCAAGAAAGGCCAAACAAAAGUCCAUCAAGCAUUUAUUUCUGCAGAGAUCGAUUUCAGUUUCUAUAGUUACCUUCAAUAUGGAAAUAUAUCAAAUACUAUCAAAUCCACAACAGUUGGAGAGCGGUGUAAAGAGAGAUGCUCUAGUUAUCUGGAGAGCGAGGUGCAUAAUUUUGGAAUGUAGAAUUGUGCAUUCAGGUUCAAAUUAAUUGCGAUUCAUCCAAAUAAUGCCUUCAAUGGGAAUGUGAGCAUCAGAACUGAACCAUGGAGCAAUGAAAGGUUGUCUGGUCU